rnacentral:rRNA from 1 species
GACGAACGCUGGCGGCGUGCUUAACACAUGCAAGUCGAACGGAAAGGCCCUGCUUUUGUGGGGUGCUCGAGUGGCGAACGGGUGAGUAACACGUGAGUAACCUGCCCUUGACUUUGGGAUAACUUCAGGAAACUGGGGCUAAUACCGGAUAGGAGCUCCUGCUGCAUGGUGGGGGUUGGAAAGUUUCGGCGGUUGGGGAUGGACUCGCGGCUUACCAGCUUGUUGGUGGGGUAGUGGCUUACCCAGGCUUUGACGGGUAGCCGGCCUGGGAGGGUGACCGGCCACAUUAGGACUAAGGUACGGCCCAGACUGCUACGGGAGGCAGCAGUGGGGAGUAUUGCACAGUGGGCGGGAGCCUGAUGCAGCAACGCCGCGUGCGGGAUGACGGCCUUCGGGUUGUAAACCGCUUUCGCCUGUGACGAAGCGUGAGUGACGGUAAUGGGUAAAGAAGCACCGGCUAACUACGUG